GGGAGGAUAUGUUUUUCUUUACAUGCCAAGAAGUCGUGUUCCCAUCUUCCUGCCAUGAAUGAGGUUGAGUGCUGAUGUGAUGCUUGGAGCUGUGGCAGACAUCCUGCAACCGUAAAGCAUCGAGGCGGUUUCCUAGUUUUCAUGAUUAUAAAUGAUGCUGCGAUGAAUAUCCUUGUCCAGGAAAUCUUUAUCUGGGUUUCUGACAAUGUCCCUAGAAGAAAUCCACAGCCGGGAAAUUACGGAGUCUCAGCUCUGCUGUUUGCUACCUCUCGCCUUACAGAUGCUCUGGAGAAGGAGCUCCUUGCUCAGUUCUACCGGGAGCCCUUGGGGCUAAAGACCUAGAUGACACCUUCCCACCCAUUCACGUGACUGUGGGCCAAGAGCCAGCCUUGCAAAAUGCUUUGAAAUCCGCUGAGGUGCACUCUCCAGAAAUAUCAGCUGUUCACCAGGUCUGCUAAAGGAUGUGGCCAGAGCAUCUGGUGUUUCCCGUGGGGAGAGUCUUCUGUAGGGUCCUUCUCCGACCUGAUCUCCCAUCUGGUACGGUGUGGCUUCUGGCUCCUAAUGCAGUCCCCCCAGGAGAAAGGAGGGAUAAGAGGAGGCAAUUUGCCUGUGCCUUCAUCUGUAUCUUUGUGAAGGUCUUCUACUCACAGAGGAAAGGAAUUGCUUUAGCUCCAUCACUGGAAUUGGAAGCUCCAAUACUUUGGCCACCAGAUGCAAAGAGCUGACUCAUUGGAAAUGACCCUGAAGCUGGGAAAGACUGAGGGCAGGAGGAGAAGCGGGUGGCAGAGGAUAAGAUGAUUGGAUGGUAUCACUGACUCAAUGGACAUGAGUUUGAACGAACUCUGGGAGAUAGUGAAGGGAAGCCUGGUGUGCUUUAGUCCAUGGGGUCGCAAAGAUUCAGAAAUGAGUUAGUGACUGAACAAUAACAACAAUCAUGGGGAUUAGAAAGGUUAAUAUUUUAUCACACCAAUACACUGAUCCC
ensembl:lncRNA